AGUGAACGCUGGCGGUAGGCCUAACACAUGCAAGUCGAACGGCAGCACAGAGGAGCUUGCUCCUUGGGUGGCGAGUGGCGGACGGGUGAGGAAGACAUCGGAAUCUACUCUGUCGUGGGGGAUCACGUAGGGAAACUUACGCUAAUACCGCAUACGACCUACGGGUGAAAGCAGGGGAUCUUCGGACCUUGCGCGAUUGAGUUAGCCGAUGUCGGAUUAGGUAGUUGGCGGGGUAAAGGCCGACCAAGGCGACGAUCCGUAGCUGGUCUGAGAGGAUGAUCAGCCACACUGGAACUGAGACACGGUCCAGACUCCUACGGGAGGCAGCAGUGGGGAAUAUUGGACAAUGGGCGCAAGCCUGAUCCAGCCAUACCGCGUGGGUGAAGAAGGCCUUCGGGUUGUAAAGCCCUUUUGUUGGGAAAGAAAUCCAUCUGGUUAAUACCCGGAUGGGAUGACGGUACCCAAAGAAUAAGCACCGGCUAACUUCGUGCCAGCAGCCGCGGUAA
rnacentral:rRNA from 1 species